GCCAGCAUGGCGUAGUGCUGAGCUUUGGACUGGAAUUAUGGAGAUCAGGGUUCAAAUCCCUGUUCAGCCA